AUGAUCCGCAGCUAUUGGUGGGGUGCAACAAAGGGUAAACGGAAAACACAUUGGAAAGCGUGGGAUCAGUUACUAAGGCCCAAAGCUUCAGGAGGUAUGGGUUUCAAGGAUUUUCGUCUAUUUAACCAGGCUAUGCUUGCUCGGCGGGCCUGGAGGAUCAUGGCUUUCCCUGACAGUCUUUGUGCUCGUGUACUGAGAGCCUGAUAUUUCCCGCUUGGACGUACGGAGGAGGACAUGGUCUUCAGCAGCAACACAUCCCAAACAUGGCAGUCCAUCGUGCACGGUUUGGAACUUCUGAAACAAGGGCUUGUGUGGCGCAUUGGUAAUGGAGCCUCGGUUAGAGUCUGGCGAGACUCUUGGAUCCCU
rnacentral:rRNA from 1 species